UACGUAGGGAGCGAGCGUUGUCCGGAUUUAUUGGGCGUAAAGCGCGCGUAGGCGGUUUCGUAAGUCGGAUGUGAAAACUCCAAGCUCAACUUGGAGCCUGCAUCCGAAACUGCGAUGACUCGAGUCAGGUAGGGGAACACGGAAUUCCAGGUGUAGCGGUGAAAUGCUUAGAUAUCUGGAGGAACACCAGUGGCGAAGGCGGUGUUCUGGGCCUGUACUGACGCUGAUGCGCGAAAGCGUGGGGAGCGAACAGG
rnacentral:rRNA from 1 species